GACGAACGCUGGCGGCGUGCUUAACACAUGCAAGUCGAACGGAAAGGCCCUGCUUUUGUGGGGUGCUCGAGUGGCGAACGGAUGAGUAACACGUGAGUAACCUGCCCUUGACUUUGGGAUAACUUCAGGAAACUGGGGCUAAUACCGGAUAGGAGCUCCUGCUGCAUGGUGGGGGUUGGAAAGUUUCGGCGGUUGGGGAUGGACUCGCGGCUUAUCCGUUUGUUGGUGGGGUAGUGGCUUACCAAGGCUUUGACGGGUAGCCGGCCUGAGAGGGUGACCGGCCACAUUGGGACUGAGAUACGGACCAGACUCCGACGGGAGGCAGCAGUGGGGAAGAAUGCACAAGGGGCGGAAGCCUGAUGCAGAAACGCCGCGUGCGGGAUGACGGCCUUUGGGUUGUAAACCGCUGCCGCCUGUGACGAAGCGUGAGUGACGGUAAUGGGUAAAGAAGCACCGGCUAACUACGUU
rnacentral:rRNA from 1 species